rnacentral:lncRNA from 1 species
CUGGGGACUCCGGAAGGCCCCUUGUCACUUUUCCCAGACCUGGCAGGAAAGUAUUAAUAUGCCCUGCAGCGGUGGCCCCAACCAAGGGAGCACGCUUUCUCUUUCCACCCAGGGAGAGGGAACGGAGCCCCAGCUAUUUCCAAGCCUGUUUUUCCACAACAAACUGUAAGAGAAUUAGGACCCAGGAGAUUCCGGAAAUCUCUACACAGGGAAAGAGCUGAUCAUCUUUCCUUCUGCCAACAAGCUUCACUCUGCAGCGCCAUUGCUCUCUGGUUGCCCUAAGGCAGUAGAGUCACCAUCUAGAUGACAGACCUAGCUGCCUACGAGUCACUGCUUUGGAGCUCAGACUCUUAAUUAGAGAUUUCAGCUCCAGGACUUCUGCUCCCCACCUCCCCCAAAAGUUAAUGAUCUGUAAGGCCUCUCAACCAACAUCCCUCCCACGAAGUCCGGCUCCAUUUCUGCAGCGGGGUUGGGGAACUGGGCCCCGGGACUUGUCUCUGCCCCCAGGAAAGCAGUGGUGAAAACAUGGUUGGUAGGUCCCUGUAUGUCAUGAGAAAGCUGCUUUGCUUUUAAAACUUCUUCAGUAUGGAGCAUCUAAGAUGAAAACUUUCUCUUGCUAAUAUUGAUAUUGCUAAUAAUAUAUCUUACUAAGAGUUUUGGCCAUUUCUGUGAAGAUUCAGAGGAAACAAGGAGAACUGAGGUGGAUUCCAUUUGCCCUAGCACCUGAACCUGGCUACUGGCUUUAGCUAAUUGGCCAAGCUGAAAAGGAAUUUUUUCUAGAGUGUUGAGAACAAAGCAUUUUGGAGUGUGUAUGUGUGUGUGUGUGUGUGUGUGUAAUUAUGUCAAAAGACCUGAUAAAUAAAUGCAUAGUUUGGAAUGGAGAAGUUAGUCAUUAAAGUAUAGGGGAAAACGUGAAAAACUUUGAAAUGAUCCCCAAACAUCAUUGGAUGUACUGUCUAUGCAUCCUUUCAGGUUAUCUGAGCUAUUUUAUAAUUCUAUGAAUUGUAGUAAAAUGGAUAGUAAUGCAAAUGAUUUUUGUCCUGAGAAAUGACGAUUGUAUUUGUAGAACUGACUCAUGAAUAUUGACCAAUUUUGCUGAUUUUGC